rnacentral:lncRNA from 13 species
ACAUUUUCCUGGUGCUAGCCUCUUUCUAGCCUCUUUCAUCAUUGUAGUAGAGCAUUACAGUUUGGAUUCCAGGCUAGCCUGUUUCUGCAACUUUUUCUCACUGACAAUCUCCUCUUUCAUUUUGAGUAGAGCUCCUUGAGGUGGAGGGUGUCUUCUUUGACGAGAACAGGUCUGAACCCAUUCUGGCGGACACUGCAGAGGAGAACUGGAACAUGGCCUGCAUCUUCCUGGUCCUCUUCCUCAUCUCCCUCCUCUACAGCUUCACAGUCACUCUGGUCAAGGUGAGAGGGAGGAUAUAACCACCUCACAGGUUUUCACUGCUUAGCUUUGAAGUGCAAGAUAUGUUUAUGCGAUUAGCGUAAAACAAUAAAUAUAAGAAUCCAUUCUUAUGUCCCAGUGUGUCUUUACUGCAUUGAUGACCUGUUGAAGCACCUGUUGAGUUUCAGACAUCGAAUGUCAUACCACACAGAGGGUAUUCAGAUUAUCUUCAUGUUCAAUAUAAAUCUAAUGGGUCUACCCCGAGGCUAUAUGUUGUUGUUUUUUUGUAUUUUGUAUGUCACUGCAACCUCAUUAUCACACGUACUCACAUUUUAUUGCUGGUUAAGCCACAGUUACAUUUUGAAUACAAAGUUUUUCACAACUUAUACUUACCUAUUUUUUCUUUUCUUUUUUUUCAGACAAAAUGAUGACUUCAGGACACUUCCUGAUGACUUCAGGACACUUCCAGUUGAACUCCGAGGGAUCUAUCAUAUAGUGUCCUGAAGUCAUCAGGAAGUGUCCUGAAGUCAUCAUUUUGUCUGAAAAAAAAGAAAAGAAAAAUAUAGGUAAGUAUAAGUUGUGAAAAACUUUAUAUUCAAAAUGUAACUGUGGCUUAACCAGCAAUAAAAUGUGAGUACGUGUGAUAAUGAGGUUGCAGUGACAUACAAAAUACAAAAAAACAACAACAUAUCGCCUCGGGGUAGACCCAUUAGAUUUAUAUUGAACAUGAAGAUAAUCUGAAUACCCUCUGUGUGGGAUGACAUUCGAUGUCUGAAACUCAACAGGUGCUUCAACAGGUCAUCAAUGCAGUAAAGACACACUGGGACAUAAGAAUGGAUUCUUAUAUUUAUUGUUUUACGCUAAUCGCAUAAACAUAUCUUGCACUUCAAAGCUAAGCAGUGAAAACCUGUGAGGUGGUUAUAUCCUCCCUCUCACCUUGACCAGAGUGACUGUGAAGCUGUAGAGGAGGGAGAUGAGGAAGAGGACCAGGAAGAUGCAGGCCAUGUUCCAGUUCUCCUCUGCAGUGUCCGCCAGAAUGGGAUCAGACCUGUUCUCGUCAAAGAAGACACCCUCCACCUCAAGGAGCUCUACUCAAAAUGAAAGAGGAGAUUGUCAGUGAGAAAAAGUUGCAGAAACAGGCUAGCCUGGAAUCCAAACUGUAAUGCUCUACUACAAUGAUGAAAGAGGCUAGAAAGAGGCUAGCACCAGGAAAAUGUUAUUGUAUCAGAAUUGAGUGAACGGACAGACAGACACCUGGUUUGGAUAUGUUCAGGGCCAGAGUCUGGGUGGUGUGGGUCACCCUGCAGGUGUAAACAGCCCCCGGUGUCAAAUCCAGGGGCCUGUUGCACAAAACUAGGAUAAGGGAUUAAGCCAGGAUAUCUUGGUGAUCCUGGCUCAAUUGAUCCGUAAUCCGGUUGCACUAAAGAUGGAUAGGGGGCAGGAGGAUAUGUUAUGGUAUAAAUUACCAUGGAGAUUUAUUCUGUGGAGCUAGCCUGCUCCAGACCAGGCUAAAUUCCAGGAUCUAUUUAAUCUCAUCCCUAAUGUCAAUCAGCAGUCACCACAAAUGGAAACCAAUAGUUAUUUCACUGCUCACUAUACAUUGUUAUCACAUAUAACUAGACCCACUGUUAUUUAAACGUUUGUGAUCAUUAAUUUCAAUGAUUUUGGAUAAAAAAUUAUUUUUAGAUGAUGUUGCUAUCAUUAGAUAAUUUACAGUUUCCCAUAGACUAUAAGGCUAUAUAUAAAAUGCUAGAAUAUUAGGGCCACAGAGGGGAAAAAAAACACAAGUCAUAAUAUUGUAACCAGUUGUUUUAAAGGAGGACAGUUGUUAAAAUGACAGAUGUGGGGCAUUUCGUGAAAUUGUACUUCAGUAUGGUUUCAUAAACAAAGACAUGCUGAUGUGCCAGAAUAUUAAGUAUCACAUUGUCAUAAGUAUCAAAACUGUAAAAACAAUAUGUAGCUUUUCUGCAGAAAGAACCAGCCUCAUAAAUUUAUGACUUUAUCCUUUUUCUUCAGUGUGGCCCUAGUACUCUGUCAUAUAAACAAAUACACAUUCCAUAUGAAUAUAAAAACACAAUGUGUAACAUUAUGUUCCUUUAUUGAAUAAGGACAAAACAAAGCAGGUAAACCAUCAGCUCCUUUCAAAACUGAAGUCACAGUGACUCUACAAGAUGGAAAGCACAGAAUCUAAGCAUAUUAUACAAAAUGAUACAUAUACAGACCUUUGAAUGUGUAUAACACACCCUGCAUGUCUGCACACUAAAAUAAAUGCAGGACAAAU